rnacentral:misc_RNA from 1 species
AAUUUAGACGAAAUUUACUGAAAGUUUAUCAUUUUAUAUAUGUAUAUAUAUCAGUUAUAAAUUGACCAUUACCUAAAUUAAAUCAUAAGAACCAUUAUUUCUUUAAUCACCGGUCAUUUUGACCGGACACGGUAGGAAUAGGUAUACACAAAAUGUUGGUAGGUUUAGUAUUAAAAUAACUAUUAAUUAAUGUAGUAUCGUGGGGAAAAAACCUGGUUAGAAACUAAGCAAAAACAAGGUCGCUUGUCCUUCGGUUAUUAGUUUACAUAGAAAAAGCCGGUGUGAUCAAAGUCACCUAGUUCUUGCGAAGCGUUAACAGGACGGAAUUAGACAAAGGGAAAAAUAGCGCUAAUGGAGUGGAGCGAUUCGAAUCCAAGGAGCGGUUAAUCGAAAAGAGAGAGUGGGUCGAGAGGUCAGAAUUAAUCGAGGAGUCGAAGAGUAGAGUUGUUAGAGUUAGCGUUGUCGAGUUGCGUUAGGUGUUAGCGUUGUUGAGAGUGGAGUUGUUAGCGUUGUCGAGUUGCGAGAG